UACAGAGGUCCCAAGCGUUGUUCGGAUUCAUUGGGCGUAAAGGGUGCGUAGGCUGUGUCAUAAGUCGGGUGUGAAAUCCCUCAGCUCAACUGAGGAAGUGCGCCCGAAACUGCUUAGCUUGAGUGCCGGAGAGGAUGGCGGAAUUCCCCAAGUAGAGGUGAAAUUCGUAGAUAUGGGGAGGAACACCGGUGGCGAAGGCGGCCAUCUGGACGGUAACUGACGCUGAGACGCGAAAGCGUGGGGAGCAAACAGG
rnacentral:rRNA from 1 species